rnacentral:rRNA from 1 species
UUGACCUCGGAUCAGGUAGGGAUACCCGCUGAACUUAAGCAACCAACAGGGAUUGCCUCAGUAACGGCGAGUGAAGCGGCAAAAGCUCAAAUUUUAAAGCUGACAUCUUCGGUGUCCGCGUUGUAAUUUUGUGAGGCAUCUCCGGGUAGGGCGCCGGCCUAAGUUCCUUGGAACAGGACGUCACAGAGGGUGAGAAUCCCGUGCUUGGCUGGCUGUCCCCGUCCAUGUGAGGUGUCUUCGACGAGUCGAGUUGUUUGGGAAUGCAGCUCAAAAUGGGUGGUAAAUUUCAUCUAAAGCUAAAUAUUGGUGGGAGACCGAUAGCGCACAAGUAGAGUGAUCGAAAGAUGAAAAGCACUUUGAAAAUAGAGUUAAAAAGUACGUGAAAUUGUUGAAAGGGAAGCGCUUGAGACCAGACUUCGGUAAGGGGUGAUCAGCCGUCCUUCUGGGCGGUGCACUUGCCCCCCUCCGGGCCAGCAUCGGUUGAGGCGGCGGGAUAAAGGUCCCGGGAAUGUGGCUCCUUCACGGGAGUGUUAUAGCCCGGGUGAAUGCCGCCAGCUUCGACCGAGGACCGCACCCGCAAGGGUUAGGAUGCUUGGCAUAAUGGUCUUCAGCGA